GGGACAACAGUUGGAAACGACUGCUAAUACCGCAUAAUCCCUGAGGGGGAAAGAUUUAUCGCUUUAAGAUUGGCCCGCGGAAGAUUAGGUAGUUGGUGGGGUAAAGGCCUACCAAGCCGACGAUCUAUAGCUGGUCUGAGAGGACGAACAGCCACAUUGGAACUGAGACACGGUCCAGACUCCUACGGGAGGCAGCAGUGAGGAAUAUUGGGCAAUGGAGGAAACUCUGACCCAGCCAUGCCGCGUGAGUGAAGAAGGUUUUCGAAUUGUAAAGCUCUUUCGGAUGGGACGAUGAUGACGGUACCAUCUAAAGAAGCCCCGGCAAACUUCGUGCCAGCAGCCGCGGUAAUACGAAGGGGGCAAGCGUUGUUCGGAAUUACUGGGCGUAAAGGGUGUGUGGGCGGAUUUGUAAGAUAGUGGUGAAAUACCUGAGCUCAACUUAGGAAUUGCCAUUAUAACUAUAGAUCUGGAGUGACAGAGAGGAUAUUGGAAUACCCAGUGUAGAGGUGAAAUUCGUAGAUAUUGGGUAGAACACCAGUGGCGAAGGCGAGUAUCUGGCUGUCAACUGACGCUGAGGCACGAAAGCAUGGGGAUCAAACAGGAUUAGAUACCCUGGUAGUCCAUGCUGUAAACGAUGAAUGCUAGUUGUCGGCAAAAGCCGGUGACGCAG
rnacentral:rRNA from 1 species